GUGGGGAAUAUUGGGCAAUGGGCGAAAGCCUGACCCAGCAACGCCGCGUGAAGGAAGAAGGUCUUCGGAUCGUAAACUUCUAUCCUUGGUGAAGAUAAUGACGGUAGCCGAGAAGGAAGCCCCGGCUAACUACGUGCCAGCAGCCGCGGUAAUACGUAGGGGGCAAGCGUUGUCCGGAAUGAUUGGGCGUAAAGGGCGCGUAGGCGGCCCGGUAAGUCUGAAGUGAAAGUCCUGCUUUUAAGGUGGGAAUUGCUUUGGAUACUGUCGGGCUUGAGUGCAGGAGAGGUAAGCGGAAUUCCCGGUGUAGCGGUGAAAUGCGUAGAGAUCGGGAGGAACACCAGUGGCGAAGGCGGCUUACUGGACUGUAACUGACGCUGAGGCGCGAAAGUGUGGGGAGCAAACAGGAUUAGAUACCCCGGUAGUCC
rnacentral:rRNA from 1 species